AACGAACGCUGGCGGCAGGCCUAACACAUGCAAGUCGAGCGAGGACUUCGGUCCUAGCGGCGGACGGGUGAGUAACGCGUGGGAACGUGCCCUUUGCUUCGGAAUAGCCCUGGGAAACUGGGAGUAAUACCGGAUGAGCCCUUUGGGGGAAAGAUUUAUCGGCGAAGGAUCGGCCCGCGUUGGAUUAGGUAGUUGGUGGGGUAAUGGCCUACCAAGCCGACGAUCCAUAGCUGGUUUGAGAGGAUGAUCAGCCACACUGGGACUGAGACACGGCCCAGACUCCUACGGGAGGCAGCAGUGGGGAAUCUUAGACAAUGGGGGAAACCCUGAUCUAGCCAUGCCGCGUGAGCGAUGAAGGCCUUAGGGUUGUAAAGCUCUUUCAGCUGGGAAGAAAAUGACGGUACCAGCAGAAGAAGCCCCGGCUAACUCCGUG
rnacentral:rRNA from 1 species